AUGGGUAAAAGGGUUAUCAGAAAGAAGAGUGCAGAGGGAGUAAAAUCGGUUCCUCAAGAACAUACAUUGGGUCAAUCGAUUCGUUUACCACUUGUUGCAUCAUCGUAAGAAGAAGGGACCCUAACUGAACCAGCACCUAGCACAGGUGAACCAGCCCAGCUCCGCAGGUCAUCGCUUGAGCGACUCCCAAGCAUUUCGCAGUUGAUGGGGCUCGAACUUGUGACCUCCAAGUCACAAUAUGGAUAUCACAAGAAAAUUGGGAUUAUAUUAUUUUACGGAGAUAACACUUAGUGUUAAUAAUUCCAAGUUGGACGAGGUCAUCAAAAAGGCAAAUAGAAAGGACAAGGACAAUGCAAAAUCAAGAGCUAAGAAGAAGAUAAAGUCUUAGUGUUAACGUCUAGUGUAGUGUUAAAGUUUACUUUGUUCAAUUCGCCACUUUGUUUUUGUUUUACUUGUUAUGUCAUUUGUACACAACAAUUUAUCUUAUCUUUUUUCAUUAAACUAGCAC